GCUUCCUUGGUGUAGUCGGUUAUCACGUCGGUCUCAUAUCUCGUCGAGUAUGACUUGCUCCCAGAGCAGGAAAUCCGAAGGCCGCCAGUUCGAAUCUGGCAGGGAGCA